UACGAAGGGUGCAAGCGUUACUCGGAAUUACUGGGCGUAAAGCGUGCGUAGGCGGUUUGUUAAGUCCGCUGUGAAAGCCCUGGGCUCAACCUGGGAAUUGCAGUGGAUACUGGCAAGCUAGAGUGCGGUAGAGGAUGGUGGAAUUCCCGGUGUAGCGGUGAAAUGCGCAGAUAUCAGGAGGAACACCGGUGGCGAAGGCGGGUCUCUGGGCUGACACUGACGCUCAUGCACGAAAGCGUGGGGAGCAAACAGG
rnacentral:rRNA from 1 species